GCCGGGCGUGAUGGCGCAUGCCUGUAAUCCCAGCUUCUCUGGAGGCUGAGGCAGGAGAAUUGCUUGAACCCGGGAGGCGGAGGUUGCAGUGAGCCGAGAUCACACCACUAACAUUCCAGCCUGGGUGACAGAGCAAGACCCUGUCUCAA
rnacentral:SRP_RNA from 2 species